AUAAAUUUGUGAAAUUAUUUAAUGCUCGACUAUCUGCUCAAGGUCUUCUGUGGUUUACCUUGAGACUGUGGGCAAAUGCCAGAUAG